rnacentral:rRNA from 1 species
GUGAGGAAUUUUCCGCAAUGGGCGAAAGCCUGACGGAGCAAUGCCGCGUGAAGGAUGAAGGCCUAUGGGUUGUAAACUUCUUUUCUCAGAAAAGAAUUAUGACGGUAUCUGAGGAAUAAGCAUCGGCUAACUCUGUGCCAGCAGCCGCGGUAAGACAGAGGAUGCAAGCGUUAUCCGGAAUGAUUGGGCGUAAAGCGUCUGUAGGUUGUUUAAAAAGUAUUCUGUCAAAGAUUAGGGCUUAACCCUAGAUAGGCAGAAUAAACUUUUAAGCUAGAGUGUGGUAGAGGCAGAGGGAAUUCCCGGUGGAGCGGUGAAAUGCGUAGAUAUCGGGAGGAACACCAAAGGCGAGGGCACGCUGCUGGGCCAAUACUAACAGUGAGAGACGAAAGCGAGGGGAGCAAAUGGGAUUAGAUACCCCAGUAGUCC